rnacentral:rRNA from 1 species
CUACGGGGGGCACCAGUGGGGAAUAUUGCACAAUGGAGGAAACUCUGAUGCAGCAACGCCGCGUGGAGGAUGACACUUUUCGGAGCGUAAACUCCUUUUAUAUAGGAAGAAGAUGACGGUACUAUAUGAAUAAGCGCCGGCUAACUCCGUGCCAGCAGCCGCGGUAAUAUGGAGGGCGCAAGCGUUACUCGGAAUCACUGGGCGUAAAGAGCGUGUAGGCGGGUUGGAAAGUCAGGUGUGAAAUCCUACAGCUUAACUGUAGAACUGCACUUGAAACUUCUAAUCUAGAGUAUGGGAGGGGGAGAUGGAAUUAGUGGUGUAGGGGUAAAAUCCGUAGAGAUCAGAAGGAAUACCGAUUGCGAAGGCGAUCUACUAGAACAUUAUUGACGCUGAGACGCGAAAGCGUGGGGAGCAAACAGGAUUAGAUACCCGAGUAGUC